rnacentral:ncRNA from 2 species
CACCUGCCGAAUCAACUAGCC